rnacentral:rRNA from 1 species
GGUUAAGCGACUAAGCGUACACGGUGGAUGCCCUGGCAGUCAGAGGCGAUGAAGGACGUGCUAAUCUGCGAUAAGCGUCGGUGAGGUGAUAUGAACCGUUAUAACCGGCGAUUUCCGAAUGGGGAAACCCAGUGUGUUUCGACACACUAUCAUUAACUGAAUCCAUAGGUUAAUGAGGCGAACCGGGGGAACUGAAACAUCUAAGUACCCCGAGGAAAAGAAAUCAACCGAGAUUCCCCCAGUAGCGGCGAGCGAACGGGGAGGAGCCCAGAGCCUGAAUCAGUGUGUGUGUUAGUGGAAGCGUCUGGAAAGGCGCGCGAUACAGGGUGACAGCCCCGUACACAAAAAUGCACAUAUUGUGAGCUCGAUGAGUAGGGCGGGACACGUGGUAUCCUGUCUGAAUAUGGGGGGACCAUCCUCCAAGGCUAAAUACUCCUGACUGACCGAUAGUGAACCAGUACCGUGAGGGAAAGGCGAAAAGAACCCCGGCGAGGGGAGUGAAAAAGAACCUGAAACCGUGUACGUACAAGCAGUGGGAGCCUCUUAAUGGGGUGACUGCGUACCUUUUGUAUAAUGGGUCAGCGACUUAUAUUCUGUAGCAAGGUUAACCGAAUAGGGGAGCCGAAGGGAAACCGAGUCUUAACUGGGCGUUAAGUUGCAGGGUAUAGACCCGAAACCCGGUGAUCUAGCCAUGGGCAGGUUGAAGGUUGGGUAACACUAACUGGAGGACCGAACCGACUAAUGUUGAAAAAUUAGCGGAUGACUUGUGGCUGGGGGUGAAAGGCCAAUCAAACCGGGAGAUAGCUGGUUCUCCCCGAAAGCUAUUUAGGUAGCGCCUCGUGAAUUCAUCUCCGGGGGUAGAGCACUGUUUCGGCAAGGGGGUCAUCCCGACUUACCAACCCGAUGCAAACUGCGAAUACCGGAGAAUGUUAUCACGGGAGACACACGGCGGGUGCUAACGUCCGUCGUGA